AUGACUCAGAGCCUCACUAAGGCCCGAUGCCUUCACUGACUUCGGCCCUCAGGGUUCCCCUAACCCCCUAACUGGCAGGCCCGCCCUACCGUGCACCUCUAGGCAUCUCUGCUUAAUGGGCCCUGCUCCACCGGAAUCCCUUUGUGGAGACUGAGGUCUGUGAGGCAAGGUUAGAUAUUUGGGAACGAGGUUAUGUAGCUUUCUUUCUCUUGACCAACUUUGUUUUUGCAGCAGCUGAGAAGGAGAAGGAAAUGGACCCUUUUCAUUAUGAUUACCAGACCCUGAGGAUUGGGGGACUGGUGUUCGCUGUGGUCCUCUUCUCGGUUGGGAUCCUCCUUAUCUUAAGUCGCAGGUGCAAGUGCAGUUUCAAUCAGAAGCCCCGGGCCCCAGGAGAUGAGGAAGCCCAGGUGGAGAACCUCAUCACCGCCAAUGCAACAGAGCCCCAGAAAGCAGAGAACUAAAGUGCAGCCAUCGGGUGGAAGCCUCUGGAACCUGAAGGCCGCUGCUUGAACCUUUGGAUGCAAAUGUCGAUGCUUAAGAAAACCGGCCACUUCAGCAACAACCCUUUCCCCAGGAGAAGCCAAGAACUUGUGCGUCCCCCACCCUAUCCCCUCUAACACCAUUCCUCCACCUGAUGAUGCAACUGACACUUGCCUCCCCACUGCAGCCUGCGGUCCUGCCCACCUCCUGUGAUGUGUCUGUGUGUGUGUGUGUGUGUGAGUGUGUGUGUUUGCUAACUGUGGUCUUUGUGGCUACUUGUU
rnacentral:sRNA from 1 species